rnacentral:lncRNA from 1 species
UUGUUACGAUCCAAAAUUCUAACCCCUCCGUUAUAAUACCUAACACACUUGCCAGGCAAGUUAACAAUUACAUAACAUCUAAACAUUCGAAUAAAGCAUGUUUUAAUAAACUGAACAACGAAAAUCUCAUGCAUAUCUAGUACAAAUAACCGAAAUACUACUACAACUAUCCCAAAAUUCGGUGUCAACGAGUACAUAAGCACUACUAAGUAUCAACAUGUGACGACCCAGCCGUUCGUCUUAAGAAUUAAUGUUCCGAUCCCCUAUUAACUGCUUUUUCCAAGUCUAUUUUUGCUAAUUUGCUUUGCCGGGAAGUUCGGUUUUGAGUUUUGAAGAGUUUUGGGACACUUAGUCCCUAAAUGACAACUUAAGUAUUGGAAUAUUAUCCGUAGUUGGAACAGUAUGAAGAUAACCUCGGAAUGGAAAUUUGAUGGUUUUGUUAGCUCCAUUAGGUGAUGGCGCGGUUGGGAGCGUGUUCGAAAUGUGGUUUGGAGGUUCAUAGCUUAUUUAGGCUUGAAAUGCCGAAGUUUGAAUUUUUUUAAGUUUCCGGUCUGAUAGUGAAAUUUUUAUCCGAGUGUCGAAAUGGAAUUUUGAAAGCUGCAGUAGUUCCGUCAUAUCAUUUGAGAUGUGCGUGUAAAAUUUCAGGUCAUUCGGACGAGGUUUGAUAGACUUUUUGCUCGAAAAUGCGUUUUAGAGUUUUUUUAUGUUUUUAAGGUUGAAUUCAAUGAAAAAUAGGUGUUUUGAUGUUAUUUUGAGCGUUCUGAAGGUUGGAACACGUUUGAAUGAUGUCAUGAGAUAUGACCGUAGGUUUGGUUGAGGUCCCUAGGACCUCGGGUGUGUUUCGGAUGCUCAACAGGGCAUUUUGAGUUGAAAUAAAUUUGCAGAUUUUGCUUUAGGUUUGUUGCAGACAUUUUCUUCUUCGCGAUCGCAUCCCCCUUCUUCGCGUUCGCAACUAUUUUUCCGCAUUCGCAUAGUAGAAAUUGGAGCUGGUACUUCAUUGCAUUUUCCUCUUUGUGAUUGCAUGGCCUUGAUCGCGAUCGCAUAAGUCUGUUUCUUCCUCUUCUGUGAUCGCGUGCCUUAAGCUGCAUUUGAAUAGUUCAUUUCUGGAACCUUUAAAUUUUACUCUUCAUGAUCGCGGAUGAUUUCCUGCAAUCGCAUUGAACAAAAUUACCUAGGCAUAAAUAAGAUUUCAAAAUCGAGUGUUUAGCCAUUUUUUGCAAAACUUAAGCUUGAGAGUUCGAAUUUGAGCGAUAUUUCGAGGGAUUUUAAGAGAUAUCGAUUUGGUAACGAUUCUAAAUUCCUGUUUUCUUGUAAUCCACUAAUCUAAGUGUGAAUUCCUCCUUUAAUUUUAGAUUUUGAAUGAAAAAUUAAUAAAACAUCUUAGACUGAAUUAUUGAGUCUUGAGUGAGUUUUUGACACCCGAUUUGGGAGAUUUAUAUAUGGUUGGACUCGUGAGAGUACGAGAAUUCUAAAAAUAUUAAUUUCACCCGAUUCUGAGAUAUUUUCUUGAGGGGCAUUUUGGUUAUUUUACCUAAUUUCGCGUCUGUGCUUUGAAUUAAAUCGUAGAAUUAGUUGCUUGAGAUGUUAUUUACAAUAUAUAAUUGAAUUGAAUAGAUUUGAGCCAUUUGGAGUGGAAUCCUUAUGGAAAACGUGUGGUUUCGAGUUGAUUUUGGAGUCGGUUGGAGGUAAGUGGCUUGUUGUGUGGGGGAUCUUCCUCUUAGAAUAUGAUUUUUUGUAAUUGAAUGCCUUGUACAUGAGGUGAAAAAUGCGUACUUGAACUAAUUUUGGAAAAUUCGAUUUUGCAUUAAGUAUUUAAAUUGAAUUUUUUUCUUACCUGCUUUAUUCUAUUUUUAAUUAUAGCAUGUGUUAGUUUAGAAAAACAUGCUUAGUUGACCUAAAUUGCCUAUUUUCUUAAGUUAUUUUGAAUGCAUUACGUGAAGUAUGUUAGGCUAGAACUACCUAUUGCCUUGUUAUUGAACACUAUUUCUGAAUAUCUUCUUGUGUGGCUCUGUAUUUAUAUUGGGACUACGGAUGUGGGAUUCUGGUAGCUCUCCCCCUUGUUUGUUUACUUUGGAACUAUGAGUUAGAUUCCCGGUAGAUCCCCUUACACAUUUACUUUGGGACUACAGGUUAGAUUCCUGGUAGAUCCCCCCCUGCACAUUUACUUUGGGACUAUGGAUCGGAUAUGGUAGAUCCCCGUGCAGUGAUAGUCGGACUACGGGACGGUAUCCCGGGAGAUCCUUUGGACAGUUUAUGAAAGGGACUAUAGGAAUGUAUUCUGGGAGAUCCUCAUUGUUGCUACUUGUACUGAGAUAUUUUUACUCUGUGUUCCCUGUUCCUUGCGUAUAUAUUGUUGCCUUAUAUAACCUAUCUUAUUUCAUUGUUUUUCUCAUUUAUAUUGUUUAUUUUAUACUAUUGAAACUUAUUUUUAUUAUUAACCUCAGUAGGGCCCUGACCUUCCUCGUCACUACCCGACCGAGGUUAGGCUUGGCACUUACUGAGUACCACUAUGGUGUACUUAUGCCCCUUCUACGCAUGUUUUUCAUGUGCAGAUCUAGGUACUUCUACCCAGGUGUAUCCACCUUGAGGCAGAUAGAUCUAGCAGAGACUUCAAGAUACAUCUGCUGCAUCCGCCGACCAAGGAGUCUCUAUCUUAUUCUAUCUUUUAGUAAUCAACUUCCUUCUUAAUGUUGUUUUAGACGUUUUGGAGUUAGAGCAUUGUACUACAUUUCUUUCAUCUUUUGUUCAUGUUGAGUUUUCGGGUUUUAGGAUAAUAUUGUAGACUUCCUUGAUGUUGAGUUAUAGAUUUUAAGCGGUAUUUAUAUACAAUUUUCUUCUAGUUGUUCAGUUUUGAAUUAUUUACUUUCGCAAGUUAUUUUGUUUUCGCAUUUUUAGGCUUACCUAGUCGUAGGGACUAGGUGUCGUCACGACAUGCUCAUGGAGGGAGAACUGGAGUCGUGACAAGUUAGUAUCAGAGCUCUAGGUUCAUAGGAGUCCCGAAACAUAGCUCGGUUUAUUAGAAUCUCACUGAUCAGUACGGAGACGUCUGUACUUAUCUACGAAGGGCUAUUUAACGGUUAGGAAAAUUCCACUUCAUUUGAUUUCAUGGUCGUGCAAGAUUUUGAUAUCACAGCUAAAUUUCUGUCUUUCUAUUCUCUUAUAGAUGGUGAGGACACGUGCCACUUAAGACGAUCAGGCACCCAUACUCCCUAAUGGAGCCGUCAGAGGUCGGGCUUGGGGUAGAGGUCGAGGGCGUGCAUGUGGUGCAGCCAGAGCACCUGCGCGAGCUGCCGCCGAGGUACCACCAGUAGAUCCAGUUGGAGUCGAGGCACCUGACACGCCUACUACCACUGAUACCACUAGACUAGCACAGUUCAUGAGCAUGUACACCACUUUUGCUUAAGUAGGGUUGCUUCCCCUUGUUGCACCCACAUCCUAGGCCGGGGAGGAGCACAGACUCCAGCUGCCCACACUCCUAAGCAGCGAGUUCCUGCUAAGCAGGUCCCCGAGAUUAUUCCAAUACCACCUGAAAUACAUGUUUAGCCCGAAGACAAGAUAGCGGCUUCGAGGAGAAGCAACUGAGGCUUGAGAGGUUCGAGAAGUACAAGCCUCUUGUAUUUAGUGGUCUAGAAUAGGAGGAUGCUCUGGGUUUUCUUGAUGAGUGCUUUCGCAUUUCCGUACCAUGGGUAUUUCGAGAUUCAGCGGAGUUUCUUUCACUACUUUUCAGCUCUGAGGGGUUGCCUAUGAGUGGUGGUGCACCUAUGAGUUAGAUAGUCCAGAUAAGGCUGCUUUACUGACUUGGACUUACUUUUCUGAUCUAUUCCUGAAAGAGUAUAUUCCUCAUAGAUGCAGGGAUGUAUGGCGCACAGAGUUUGAGUAUUUGCUCUAGGGUGCUAUGACUGUUUUAGAGUAUGCUGCCUGUUACACCAGUUUGGCUAGGCAUGCACCAGCCUUGGCUGCUACUGUUUGCGAGAGGAUUCGCUGGCUUAUUGAGGGGCUUACUCGUAUCAUCAGAUCUAGCAUGGCUCGUGAGUUAGAGAUGGAUAUUUCUUAUCAGCACGUGGUGAGCAGUCCUAGAAGGAUUGAGGGUAUACAUUCUAGGGAGAGGGAUGAGCGAGAGAGGUCAAGAGGUCUCGUGAGUCAGGCCAUUAUUCUGCGCCCGCACCCCAGUUGUAGGUCAUCAUGCAAGGGGUUAUAUGAGUCGCCCAUUUCAUUCAACUUUUCCAGCAGCCAGCAAUGCUCCAGCUCCUCCUAGGCCUCAAGAGCCUUAUUAUCCACGUGCAGUUUCUAGCAUGCCUCCUACGCGUGGUGUUUCCAGAGGUCAAUCCAGCAGAUUUUGUCCUAGCUAGUUGCACCACCACAUCUUCCCAAAGCUUGUUUUCAGUGUGGUGACACAUGCCAUAUGGUUAGGGAUUGCCCUAGACUUGGGCGGGGUGCAUCUUCAAAGACUUCUCAGCUGUAGCGUGCCCCGAAGAUUUCACAAGCUAUACAGCUCCAGUUGCCGCCCCGCCUAUUCAGCUAGCUAGAGGUGGUGGCCGGGGAGGUAGAGGUCACCCUCGAGGGGGAGACCAGGCCAUAUACUAUGACCUUCUUGCUCGUGCCGAGGAUGUUGCUUCCGAUUCUGUUAUCAUGAGCAUUAUACAGGUUUGUCACAGAGAUGCAUCAUUUCUAUUCAAUCCAGGCUCUACUUACUCUUAUUUGUCUUAUUAUUUCCCUCCUCAUUUGGCUGUACCCCGAGAUUCCUUGAGUUCUCCUGUGUAUGCAAACAUAAGUGGAAACAUUAAAGGAUUAAAAUAGUUCAGGAUUGAAAUAACAAUGAAAAGCAUCCCGAGAACAACGACAUAGUCACAAAGCAUGAAUUCACAUUGCCUAGAGUCAACAGGAGGAGUUUUAACCUUGUACUCAAUCAAGAACAGACAAGAUCCAUUAAUUCAACAAAGGUUUCUUAUGGUCUUGGUCCACUAACUAAUACUAGGUGAACACACAACCUUGUACCGUUCAUAAGUUAGUUUGUUGGAUAAAACAGUCACACAUAAAAGCAAGCAAGUUGAAGGAAUAGGUACUGUGAUUUAAUCCUAUGUUUAUUAUGGAUGAACAUCUAUAAUAGGAAAAAAUCAUUGGUCUAAUGACAUAGGGGUAGACUCAUAGAUAUAUUGUAAGCAAGACAUCACAAACGUAGUGAAUAGAAACAGGCAGGUUGACAUGCUGAAAAUAGGACCCUCUAGGUUUAACCAUAUGUAAGCAAGAAUGUUGAUUAAUGCAUUAGCAUAUAUCACAUAAGUCUUAGAAAUAGGCAUACUAAUACCACGGAAACAUACUAAUUAAAACAACAUGAAAGUAAACAUGCUAGGACAGGAAACACACAAAUCUUGAAAACAGACAAUGUAGAAAUUUGAAGGUAGGGACAAACCACAUAGAUCUUAGUUAAGAGGGAUGCUAAUAUCAGGGAAACAUACUGAUUCAACGACAUGAAAGCAUGCAUGUUGAGAACAAGAAACAUACUGAAUUAGUAACGUACAAGUGAUCAUGUUCAGCAGGAAGUACAUAAACCAAGUCAUACAGAUGUCAGAAUAGUAAUAAAGUGAGACAUAUCGUUUAGGAAUUUGCAGUAUGAGAGUGAGGUAAAUAGGAUCCAAGAUCUAGCCUUGGCUUUCAUCCGGCUAGACAGUGCAAUAGACAAAUAAUAGUAGAGAGCAAGAGCUUUUAGAGGUGUUGUUCCUUAGGUCUAUGUAUGCGUUUGAAUAUGGUCAUGUAUUUAUAGGAGUCUGAGUAGUGUAAAGUAAAUAAAGCAAAGAAAUCAAUCAAACAUUCAAUCAAGCUUGACAUGGCAGAAAAUCACGGAGACAUACCCAAAAAUAACUUUGGUUGAGUUUUAAAUAAGGCAAGAAGUGAUUCAAACAACUAGUUAGGGUCAUAACACCAUAAAUCAAAUAAUUAACCACACAAAUAAGGUGACAUAAAUAAUAAGAGACCAAUCUGGGAUCAAACACCCCUUAAAAUAAGCUUAAUAGGCGAGGAAUGUCAAUUAGGAAUCUCAAAACUGAGGAAAGCGGGUAAAAUAUGGUAAAUCAUCUCAGCAAAACAUGAAAGCUUAGAUGGUUGAGUAAUUCAAGCAACUAUCUAAAAAUAAUGGGCGGAAUAUUAAAGUGAACAACGAACAAUCAAAUAACUAAGACUGGAACAUAAUCAUUAAAGAAAGAUUAAUCAAACACAUAAUGAAUUUUAGAAAAGCCUUUUUCAAAAAUAGACGAAGUGGAACUUCAUUUUGAAAAACAUUAAGAGUCUAUUAACAGAAAAGAAAUAAGAGAUCUUUAAAGAAAAAUCGCUGACAAACUCACAAUCACUCCACAUCUUCAAAGAUCUCGACAGAUUUAUGUCUAAAAGAUUAGGGUGUUGAGGAAAGAGGUAGGAUAAAGAGAAUCUUGUUUUGAACCAAGCAAUCGAACCAUAAACUCAAGAUGAUUGCACUCACAAAAGGAAGUGACCAUCGACAGACUUCUUAAAUAGUCUCAAACAAGAUCUGUGCUACAUCUCUUUGAUAUCUCUUUCAUAAUAUCGUAAAAUUGAACAAUCAGAAGAAGCAUGAGACCAGUAGAGGUCUGAAACAACCAUGGAAUCCCAUGGAAUAGGUAAAAAUUGAAGGGAUUCAGGAUACGUUUAGGUGGCGGCGAUUAGUGUUAGGGUUGGUCUUAGACGGAACCAGAGAAGAGGGUAUUCAAGGGCGGCUGGUAUAUGAAGAAUG